UAGCCAUGGGCAGGUUGAAGGUUGGGUAACACUAACUGGAGGACCGAACCGACUAAUGUUGAAAAAUUAGCGGAUGACUUGUGGCUGGGGGUGAAAGGCCAAUCAAACCGGGAGAUAGCUGGUUCUCCCCGAAAGCUAUUUAGGUAGCGCCUCGUGAAUUCAUCUCCGGGGGUAGAGCACUGUUUCGGCAAGGGGGUCAUCCCGACUUACCAACCCGAUGCAAACUGCGAAUACCGGAGAAUGUUAUCACGGGAGACACACGGCGGGUGCUAACGUCCGUCGUGAAGAGGGAAACAACCCAGACCGCCAGCUAAGGUCCCAAAGUCAUGGUUAAGUGGGAAACGAUGUGGGAAGGCCCAGACAGCCAGGAUGUUGGCUUAGAAGCAGCCAUCAUUUAAAGAAAGCGUAAUAGCUCACUGGUCGAGUCGGCCUGCGCGGAAGAUGUAACGGGGCUAAACCAUGCACCGAAGCUGCGGCAGCGACGCUUAUGCGUUGUUGGGUAGGGGAGCGUUCUGUAAGCCUGUGAAGGUGUGCUGUGAGGCAUGCUGGAGGUAUCAGAAGUGCGAAUGCUGACAUAAGUAACGAUAAAGCGGGUGAAAAGCCCGCUCGCCGGAAGACCAAGGGUUCCUGUCCAACGUUAAUCGGGGCAGGGUGAGUCGACCCCUAAGGCGAGGCCGAAAGGCGUAGUCGAUGGGAAACAGGUUAAUAUUCCUGUACUUGGUGUUACUGCGAAGGGGGGACGGAGAAGGCUAUGUUGGCCGGGCGACGGUUGUCCCGGUUUAAGCGUGUAGGCUGGUUUUCCAGGCAAAUCCGGAAAAUCAAGGCUGAGGCGUGAUGACGAGGCACUACGGUGCUGAAGCAACAAAUGCCCUGCUUCCAGGAAAAGCCUCUAAGCAUCAGGUAACAUCAAAUCGUACCCCAAACCGACACAGGUGGUCAGGUAGAGAAUACCAAGGCGCUUGAGAGAACUCGGGUGAAGGAACUAGGCAAAAUGGUGCCGUAACUUCGGGAGAAGGCACGCUGAUAUGUAGGUGAAGUCCCUCGCGGAUGGAGCUGAAAUCAGUCGAAGAUACCAGCUGGCUGCAACUGUUUAUUAAAAACACAGCACUGUGCAAACACGAAAGUGGACGUAUACGGUGUGACGCCUGCCCGGUGCCGGAAGGUUAAUUGAUGGGGUCAGCGCAAGCGAAGCUCUUGAUCGAAGCCCCGGUAAACGGCGGCCGUAACUAUAACGGUCCUAAGGUAGCGAAAUUCCUUGUCGGGUAAGUUCCGACCUGCACGAAUGGCGUAAUGAUGGCCAGGCUGUCUCCACCCGAGACUCAGUGAAAUUGAACUCGCUGUGAAGAUGCAGUGUACCCGCGGCAAGACGGAAAGACCCCGUGAACCUUUACUAUAGCUUGACACUGAACAUUGAGCCUUGAUGUGUAGGAUAGGUGGGAGGCUUAGAAGUGUGGACGCCAGUCUGCAUGGAGCCGACCUUGAAAUACCACCCUUUAAUGUUUGAUGUUCUAACGUUGACCCGUAAUCCGGGUUGCGGACAGUGUCUGGUGGGUAGUUUGACUGGGGCGGUCUCCUCCUAAAGAGUAACGGAGGAGCACGAAGGUUGGCUAAUCCUGGUCGGACAUCAGGAGGUUAGUGCAAUGGCAUAAGCCAGCUUGACUGCGAGCGUGACGGCGCGAGCAGGUGCGAAAGCAGGUCAUAGUGAUCCGGUGGUUCUGAAUGGAAGGGCCAUCGCUCAACGGAUAAAAGGUACUCCGGGGAUAACAGGCUGAUACCGCCCAAGAGUUCAUAUCGACGGCGGUGUUUGGCACCUCGAUGUCGGCUCAUCACAUCCUGGGGCUGAAGUAGGUCCCAAGGGUAUGGCUGUUCGCCAUUUAAAGUGGUACGCGAGCUGGGUUUAGAACGUCGUGAGACAGUUCGGUCCCUAUCUGCCGUGGGCGCUGGAGAACUGAGGGGGGCUGCUCCUAGUACGAGAGGACCGGAGUGGACGCAUCACUGGUGUUCGGGUUGUCAUGCCAAUGGCACUGCCCGGUAGCUAAAUGCGGAAGAGAUAAGUGCUGAAAGCAUCUAAGCACGAAACUUGCCCCGAGAUGAGUUCUCCCUGACUCCUUGA
rnacentral:rRNA from 1 species